UAAUGAUGAUGAUGAUGAUGAUGAUGGUGACGAUGAUGAUGACAAUGAAAAUAAUAAUGACAAUCAAAAUAACAUAACAAUAAAGAAUUAUGUCAUCAUUAUCAUCAUCAUCAUCAUCAUCAUUAUCA
rnacentral:pre_miRNA from 1 species